ACCUGGCCCAUAAAGAGUUAGUCCCUUGAGGCCCACAUAACCUAGACCUCAAGUACCCGAAAGGCCCACAGCCUUUCAACCUAAGGCCCAACUAGCCCUAGAGUCUCCAUGAAGCCCUCAUGAAUGAUAGACCUUGGCCUUAGCCUUGGUCCCCUGGGCCUUGGGCACACCACCUGGAUCAUAACAAGGAUGGGGUUGGGUCCAAUAACUAUUAGGUGAGGGACCC
rnacentral:lncRNA from 1 species